ensembl:lncRNA
GGAGGCUAUAUACAGGGGGUACCGGUACAGAGUCAAUGUGGAGGCUAUAUACAGGGGGUACCGGUACAGAGUCAAUGUGGAGGCUAUAUACAGGGGGUACCGGUACAGAGUCAAUGUGGAGGCUAUAUACAGGGAGUACCGGUACAGAGUUAAUGUGGAGGCUAUAUACAGGGAGUACUGGUACAGAGUCAAUGUGGAGGCUAUAUACAGGGGGUACCGGUACAGAGUCAAUGUGGAGGCUAUAUACAGGGGGUACUGGUACAGAGUCAAUGUGGAGGCUAUAUACAGGGGUACCAGUACAGAGUCAAUGUGGAGGCUAUAUACAUGGGGUACCAGUACAGAGUCAAUGUGGAGGCUAUAUACAGGGGGUACCGGUACAGAGUCAAUGUGGAGGCUAUAUACAGGAGGUACUGGUACAGAGUCAAUGUGGAGGCUAUAUACAGGGGGUACCGGUACAGAGUCAAUGUGGAGGCUAUAUACAGGGGGUACCGGUACAGAGUCAA